GUGCGUAUACACUGAUCCUUGCGUGAUAUUGCACCGUCCGCCAGAACCACUGAAAGGUUUAAAGCCUAAAGGAGACCUGACCGUUAGGUAGUUUAGAAACCAGUGAGCGCAUGGUGGUGUGAAAUUAGACUGCGCAACGCCUCCUUCUGUCUUCUUCGCUCAUAGCCUCGCGCAAUCGACUAAGAAUUUCAUUUCGAAGUGUCACGACGAAGAUCUUCAUAAAAUUUUAUUCAAGCUAUUGGCAACUUAUAUUUCAGUGAAGUGGAAAUGAAAGAGAGAAGCACUACUAUGCACACUACUACGCUCAAGCGCAUUUUGGUCAAUUGUGCAUCUCAGGCGAAAGAAUAUGGGAGUUGCGUUGCUGGAAAAGUUCCACAGGUUGAACGUGAUAUGUGUUUAAAGGAAUUUCUUGCCCUAAAAACAUGCAUGCAAAAUACGCUGAGAGGGAAGUUUUAAGGUGGAUUCCUCUUUCCACAGUAUGUAGAAUCAGUCAUAUGUCUCUACAACCUCUAUUUAUAAAGCCAGAAGAGAAGAAAAUCAGAACAAUGAGGAGAACAGUGCUGUAUUCUUAAUCUAUGCAUUUCUUGUUGACAUCAAAGUUUUGUGGAUGAAUUAAUGCCUAAAGGGCAGGUUUAAGGUUGAGGAGCUUCCAGAUUUUACUAUUGAGACAUUCACUGAACUUCACGUUGCUGUUCUUCCCAUAAAGAUCAUAACCAGCAUUCGAGGGCCAACUACAAUAGUAUUUACUAGACUCUGCCAAGUUCUAUUGUUAAGGCUGAGAUACGAGAAAAUUAUAACAUGUUGGGAAAGGCAUCAGGUGCUCAACCGAGUGUUGGGUUAAGUGGAUGUGGUGCUCUUUCACAUGUUUACAUUCGGCAUCCACCUCUAAGAUGCAACAUUCCUGGAUCAAGAGGUCUAUUCUAUGAUGAUGGGAAUAAGUUACUACUCUCCAUCACAUCUGAUCAGGUUUUUGCAUGGAAAACUGCUCCACUUGCUCUGUUUGAUGCUCCUACAUCUGAUUCAAUAUGUGAAGGGCCGGUAAUUUCUAUUCGAUAUUCACUAGAUGCGAAGGUAAUUGGAAUUCAACGAUCUAAUCUUGAGAUCGAGUUCAGGAAAAGAGAUACUGGGGAGUCUUUUAUCCACAAGAGUAAAUCAGAAUCUGAGAGCAUACUGGGAUUCUUUUGGACAGAUUGCCCAUCUUGUGAUGUUAUAUGUGUGAAGACAAGUGGGCUGGAUCUGUUUGCAUAUGAACCUGAGUUGAAAGCACUCCGCUUGGUUGAGACAAAAAGAUUGACUGUGAGCUGGUAUAUUUACACACACGAAAGUCGGCUGGUUCUUCUUGCCUCUGGAAUGCAGUGCAAGUCUUUCACUGGAUAUCAGUUUUCAUCUGGAGGAAUUAUUCGUUUGCCAAGGUUUGAGAUGGCAAUGGCAAAAGCAGAGGCAAAUGAGAAACCUGUCCUAGCUGUGGAAGAUGUUCAUAUUGUUACAAUGUAUGGAAGGAUAUACUGUUUGCAAGUUGAUAGGAUCGCAAUGCUACUCCACUUGUAUAGGUUUUACCGGGAUGCCAUUGUGCAACAGGGUUCUUUGCCAAUUUAUUCAAGCAAGAUUGCAGUCAGUGUGGUUGAUAAUGUACUACUUGUCCAUCAAGUGGAUGCCAAAGUUGUUAUUUUAUAUGACAUAUUUGCUGAUUCCUGGGCACCGAUAUCUGCUCCACUUCCUCUCCUACUGAGGGGUUUACCAAGGGUUAAUACUUCAUCCUCUCGAUUAAAUAGUAGGGAUACAGUUCAUGUAGAGGUAAGUGAAAUGAGUGACCAUGAAGGAAUCAUCUAUGGAGAGGAGUGGAAUUUUCUCAUUCCAGAUCUUAUAUGUGAUGCUGCUCAUGGUGCUUUGUGGAGGAUCCAUUUGGACUUGGAGGCUAUUGCUGCCAGUAACUCAGAAGUGCCUUCUGUUCUAGAGUUCUUGCAGCGCCGUAGACUGGAAGCCAGUAAGGCUAAGCAAUUAUGCUUGGCGAUUACUCGCACUAUAAUUCUAGAACGAAGACCCAUACCCAUGGUUGCUAGAACAGUUGAUGUGCUUGUCACCUCUUACUCUCAUUCAAUUAAAACAGGAAGUUCUCUCCUUGGAAGGACGGUGGGUGGUGAGACUACUUCCACUUCUGGAAUACAGCAUAUAUAUAGCUCUAGGACCGGAGCUGAUGGCUCUCUGACUAGAAUUGCAAGACAUGGAAAAUCCAUAUAUGAAUCUACAACUGCAAGUGGAAUGGACAGGGAACCUCAACAAUCCAAGACUGGAGAUGUGGAAAAUGGAUCUCCGGAUCUUACCACAGGUUUGACUGUAAAUAGAAAAUCAACUUCAUUGGUUUCAGACUCUGAGGAGAAUGUUGGUUCAGAACUAGUGAACAACAGUUCAGGAGAGCCUCUUGAAAAAACCCUAUCCAACAAUCUUCAUUGUGUGGGAACUGAAGAAGGUAUGGGGGCUGAAACUUCUGGUGUGGAGGUUGAGCAGUCAACUUUACAACCUCGAGUGCUUGGUUCCAGUGGCAAUCCAUUGAACUCUGAUGUUUCUGGGCAACAGGAGUCACAAGUUGCUUCUCCAGCAAUUUCACCUGAUGAGAUGUACAGUUUUGUCUUUGCUCCUGUAGAGGAAGAGAUGGCAGGAGAUCCUUCUUACUUGGUUGCUAUUAUUGUUGAGUACUUCCGCAGUGCUGCUUUGGAAAAACUCAAAGUUCAUCCAAAUAUGAAUGUCUUGACCGUACAAUUGCUAGACCGCAGUGAGCACUAUGUGGAACUUGGAUUGUUCAUCAUUAACAAGAUCCUUGAGCCGUCUAAAGAAGUAGCAUUACAACUAUUAGAGUCAGGUCGCCAUAAUAUCCAGACAAGGAAGUUCGGUAUGGAUAUGCUGAGACAGCUCUCGUUGCAUCAUGACUAUGUGUUAUUUCUAUUGCAAGAUGGAUAUUAUCUUGAAGCCCUACGCUAUGCGCGAAAAAACCAGGUGAAUACCAUCCAGCCUUCAUUAUUUCUCGAAGCAGCAUUUGCUUCCAAUGACUCGCAACAUUUAGCAGCAGUCUUGAGAUUCUUCUCAGAUUUCAUUCCUGGCUUCAGAAAUACAUCUGCUUACAAUACAUACUGCCGUAUUCUGAGUGAGAUGAGCUCAUCUGUAGCUUAUGGCGUCUGAGUAAGAAGCACUAAGCAGAUGGAAUGCCAAACAAAAUGGGGAAUUGAAGGGCAGCCCUCAGAGCUCCCUGGAUCCUAGCGGCAACAAUCUGACCAUCAAGUGAAUGGUCAAUGACACCACCCCUCCGAUUUUCUCGCAGUGUGCACGAAUGAGUUUAGCACUUGGUUUUCAUUGAAAGCAAACUUGGUUGUGAACAGCUGCUUGCUCAGUUGGUCGGUGGCUUGCCAGUAGAUUACAUGCCCCUAGGAAGGUCAAGGGAUAGACUUUUCUGUUUCACAUUUCACAUUGUGCCGUAGGGAAUCCUUAAACUUGAGGUAGGUUAAUACAACUGUAAACUAAUAAAAUGAAGGGUAAGAGAUUGCUGCCUGGUCAAUUGGCCCUUGCAUCAGUACAGGGACCAAUUAGAGAGCGUGCAAAGUAUCAAUAUGGAUGUAAUUUUUUAUUUCAAAAGACAUGGCAGUAAUUUUAUGUGUUUCUAUGUUGAGAGCAGGUUCCACCAUCAACUUCCACGUGACCAAACAAUGUUCGUUUUUUCCUAAAAUGAAUAUGAGUGGAAGUUCAUUAUCUUACCACUUUGUA